GGUCUGGGUCCCAGGGUCCACCUUCAUGUUCCACCAAUGAGUUUGUUCACAGGGGGUGGAGUGUGUAGGGGAUGUCCUGAUAUGUGUGUAAGGAAUACAUUGUGUGAAAUUGUGUUUGUAUGUGUAAGGGCUGCAAGGUGUGUUUCUGUGUAUGUAUGGGAUGCAUUGAAUGUGUGUAAGGGGUGCAUUAAGUGUGUGUAAUGAAUGCAUUGUGUGUUUCUGU